rnacentral:lncRNA from 1 species
AAAUUCUUCUCAAAGAAAAACAAAUAAUGAUCGAAUUAUUACACGUUGACUUUGAUGAAUCCACUCAGACAACCAUUGUAGAAGAAGAUGAAAUAGUUCCAGAACCAGAAAUCAUCAUUCCAACUGAAGAAACUACCAAUGUCGAAAUCGAAGUCUUUGAGCCUCCAUCCAACAGGUUGCUCAGGAACCCACAUUCCACUGAUCAAAUCAUUGGUGAC